rnacentral:rRNA from 1 species
UACGGGGGGAGCAAGCGUUGUUCGGAUUUACUGGGCGUAAAGGGCGCGUAGGCGGUCGUGACAAGUCACUUGUGAAAUCUCCGGGCUUAACUCGGAACGGUCAAGUGAUACUGUCGGACUAGAGUACAGAAGGGGCAACUGGAAUUCUCGGUGUAGCGGUGAAAUGCGUAGAUAUCGAGAGGAACACCUGCGGCGAAGGCAAUCUCCUGGACCUGCACUGACGCUCAUGCACGAAAGCGUGGGGAGCAAACAGG